rnacentral:rRNA from 1 species
UACAGAGGUCUCAAGCGUUGUUCGGAUUCAUUGGGCGUAAAGGGUGCGUAGGUGGCGCUGUAAGUCGGGUGUGAAAUUUCGGAGCUUAACUCCGAAACUGCAUUCGAUACUGCGGUGCUUGAGGACUGGAGAGGAGACUGGAAUUCAUGGUGUAGCAGUGAAAUGCGUAGAGAUCAUGAGGAAGACCAGUGGCGAAGGCGGGUCUCUGGACAGUUCCUGACACUGGGGCACGAAGGCCAGGGGAGCAAACGGG